CUCAGCCCCUCUCCCCUCGCUGGGCCCACGGCCCUUGGGGGUAGAAGCCCUGAGGGAUGCUAGGUGGGCCCGCGGCAGGGGGGAGGGCCGGGGUCCCGGCCACCCCCGGGAGGCGGGGGGAGGGGCGGCGGGAUUGACAGUCGGUAAUUGGGUAACUGGAGGCCGCUUCUCCGGCCCGGCAGCCCCGCCACCGCGACGCCGGGCCCCUGACGUCACCCGAUUCGCCAGGAAAUGAACUUUUUAAUAAUCUGAGGAGGGAGGAAAGCCCUCGGUCCCCUCGGCUCGGGGGGCACCAGGCCAGGCCGGGCUCCGCCAGCAUGCCCCCGUCACCCCCUCCAAGGCCAGCUCUGGCAGCGCCACGGGAGCCUUCCCCUGCCUCGGCGUCCCGCCGGCCCUUUCUGUCCGAGGCCCUGGCGCAGGUAAAGGAGAGGGGGGGACAGUGGUGCAGAGGCCUGGGCCGAGGGAACCCGAGCGUCUCUGGCCCUUGGGAACCCGUCUGCCCUGGCCGCUGGCCGCGCCUCCCGCUCCGGGGCGCGCGGGGCCCUGGCUUCUCGGAACUCCGCUCCGCGGGAGAGGAGGCCGGCGCUCGCCGGGUAAGACGCACCGGAGCCGGGAGCGAGAGCUCGAGGCCCUGAGCGCCGAGCCUCGGCUGCCGGCCCAGGCAGGUGAGUGGCCUCGGCGCCUCCCGGCUCGCGCGCCCGAAACGGGCGCGGCCUGGCCCGGACCCGCGGUCUCUCCGUACGUCUGUUUCUGCUCCCUGCCUGUAGCUUACGACUCAUCAACGCGUAAAACGCGAUCGCAGCGAAACCUCCAGCCUGUCUUGCCGCCUCAGAGCCCAGCAGGGGCUUCUCAAAGACAACGCGGCACCGGGGACAAUCCCCGGUGUCCGGCAAGGCCGCCCCAUGGAGUUCAAAGUCGGGGAUGGAGCGCGGGAGGCCCCGGACUCGCAGGCCGGCCGCCAGGCGGUGAACGCCGGAGCCGAGCGGAAGCUUACCGCCGACCGCGAUCCCAGCGUCGGUUCGCGGGGAGACGGUCGUUCCGAGCUUUCAGGAGAGCAGUAUUAUAUUAAACUCGUUGCUGUUGUUCAGAUGCUAAGUCGUGUCCCAUGGACUGCAGCACGCCAGGCUUCCACAUUCAUGUCCAUCGAGUUGGUGAUGCCAUCCAGCCAUCUCAUCUUCUGCCUCCCUCUUCUCCUUUUGCCUUCAAUCUUUCUCAGCACCAGAGUCUUUUAUAUUAAACAUGCUACAUCUGUAAAUGUUGUAAACCCCA
ensembl:lncRNA